rnacentral:rRNA from 1 species
UACGGGGGGAGCAAGCGUUGUUCGGAUUUACUGGGCGUAAAGGGCGCGUAGGCGGCCAGCACAAGUCAGUUGUGAAAUCUCCGAGCUUAACUCGGAAAGGUCAACUGAUACUGUGCGGCUAGAGUGCAGAAGGGGCAACUGGAAUUCUUGGUGUAGCGGUGAAAUGCGUAGAUAUCAAGAGGAACACCUGCGGCGAAGGCGGGUUGCUGGGCCGACACUGACGGCUGAU